rfam:Streptomyces sp. MMG1533 P407contig47.1a, whole genome shotgun sequence.
CUUGACCGAGCCCAGCCACAGCGGCGGCCGCUCCUCGUCCCGUCCUUGGCCGUAGGCGGCCAGCAGGGCCCGCGCCUC